AGUAAGUGAGGACACGUGAUACGCGUAUGAGCGGAACCAACGUGUCGAUACUUUUAUAUAUAUAGAUGUAGUAGUACUAUUUUUUUUGUAGCCGCCACUUAAAAUUUCCUUAAAUUACUACUUUUGUCUUUUUGCUGCGUGUUUAAGUUGUCCUGCUUGGCGGCACAAACAGACAACUUGAUGACUCACCAGGUGACGUUCCUUUCUUUCUUCCUUUCACUUUCUUUCUUUAAUUAUGUGGAGUCGCUACAAUCUAAUCUCAUCAUCCCAAUUCCCAAUGCUUGCUAAAUACCUCUUUUCCUCCCUAUUUUAAUGAUAUUUUAGAAUUUUUUAUUUAUUUCUAAUUAAUUGAUAUUUAUUUAAAUUUAAGAAAAUUAAUGAUAAUUUUUUCUAAAUUACUUCUCAUUACUCUACCUAAUUAAUUGACGUUUGUUCAAAUUUAGAAGAAUUAAUGAUAAUUUUUCUUAAAUUACUUCUCAUUACUCUAUCUUGCUAUGAUAAAUUAAUGAUUUAAGGGUAUUAUAGACAAUUGAGUACUAUAUUUAAUAUUUUUCAAUCAUUAUCUUAAUUCGUGUGUCUAUCUCUAAAUCGUCAUUUAAAUAGGGACGGAGGGAGUAUAUAAAUAAUGGAAAUUGAUAUAUAUAUAAAAUGAUAUUAAUUUUUUUAUGUGAAAAUAUUAAUUUCUUAAAUAAUUUAUAAUUCUAUCUGCGAAAAAAUCAAAAUAUAAAUAGGUCAUUGUUUCUUUAUGUAUUUUUUAGGGAAUUAAUAUCUCCAUCUCUAUGAGUAAAAUUUAAUAUUUUUACAAGGUCUCUCUUACAUGAUUGUGGAACCUAUAAAUUAUUCAUGUAAUAAGAAUUGAUAUUUUUAUUUGUGAAAAUAUAAAAAAUAUAUAUUUAUUUAGGAAUGCCGUUCGUUUAAUGAGACUAGAUAUUUGGGAUAGGUGCGGGGGCCGUAAAUUCAGUUUUCUCUUAAAGUUAAAUCAAAGAUUAUGAAUUUUUUUCACAAGAGUGGCAACUUAUUAGAACAUUUACGACAUUAUGUCUUUGAAAUGUUCACCUUUUAGGUUCAUGAUUUCCGCAUCAGUUCACACAAUUUGAACUAUUUUUAAUUAAUUUCAUUAUUGAGGAAACAAAAUCAAAAUGACUUUUUGUAUGGGUCUUCUACUUCUUUAUCGCUUUUUUGAUAUUAAUGUUUAAUUAAUUAGGCCACAGAGAGAGAGAGAGAGCAUAUUUAGUCUUUAUAUUUUUUUUAUUUAAUAUGUAAAAACAAAUAACCAAAAUUUGGGAUAUGCAUUACUAAAGGACAAGCAGAAAUGCAUGCAGUCGCAUCGACACUUGAAACCAAACCAUUGGAAUCUGGAUUAUAAACAUGCAUGGAGCCCGAGCCACAAUGACAUGAGAUGGACCCUAGCCUGCCAUCUAUACAAAUACUAUCAAAUUAAUAAAACGUGCACACAUGCAUAUUAUAUACAACAUCACGAAUUGUUACUCCAUUAAUUUUGCAUUAAAUUAGUUUUUGUAACAGGCAUAAUAAUUAAUUAAUUAUAUAUGGCUAUCAGCAUGCAUACUGGGGCCAGGCCAGGCCAUGUUCAAUAAACAAACCCAAUACGCCAACAACACUAGGAGGAAAAGACAUACUACUCAUAGUGGAAGGACCAGAGACUUGAUAGGUAUGUGCAUAUCCUCUCAUGGUCAUGGAUGCAAUCAUUCAUGCACUAGGUCGGUCGGACAAUAUAGAAAAGUGGUUAGUAUUAAGUUUAUUUUUUGGUAAGUUGGUCAAUUGGUCAAUAAAGUGUUGACACGCAAGCGAUGCUCUAUGUUUGUCAGCAUUCUAUUGGUCAAUUGACCAACUUAUCAAAAAUAUAAAAUUCAUAAAAACCGGAUCCGACAAUAUAUAAUACCACCAACUAUAUAUAUAUAUAUAUAUAUAUAUAUAUAUAUAUAUAUAUAUAUAUAUAUAUAUAUAUAUAUAUGUAUGUAUGUAUAUGUAUAUGUUAUUCCCUAUCUUUCUAUAAAAAAAAGUAUCUAUUUUUUUAUAAUAUUUUAUUUCACGAAAGAGCCAUAUCUUUUUAUUAAAAAUAUUAUAAAAAUACUAGUAAUAUAUAUUAAAGCAAAGUUGGUGGUAAAAAUACUAGUACAGUAUCAAAAUUGUGUGGACUAAAUUGCUUUAACUGAAAUGAGGAGCUGAAUCACUGCUUUAGUGAUAAGUUUUGAUAAGUGAUUUGUGAAUCGCAAAGAUGAGAUGCAUGCACUUGAUUUGUGGCCAUGUCUCAUUGUCCUUGUUAAAUGCAUGCACGUAUGGUGACACCACCUUCUAGCUGGAUCCCUUUAAAUUUUUCUCGUCCUCUUCUUUUAGAAUUUUCUUCUUCUUUUUAUAAUUUAUUAUUGCUAUAGUAGUAUUAUUUAAUUUUUGAAAUCAAAUAAGACAAUUAAACGUUUUUCAUAUACGCCAAUUGAUUCGAUGGACCUGGCCGAACUCAUCUGAAAGAUUAACGCAUGGCACGGCACGGCACUUUUUUAUCCAGUGACGUAGGGCAAAAAAAGCUAAAAUGUUUCUUACUAUUUUAUUACAUGAUGUGAUCAAAAUAAUAAUUAAAUGGAGUAUAUAAGAUAAUGGCUAAAAAAGAGAAAAUUAUAUUAAAGGAUUAAGAACACACCAUCAUCUUAUAACCUCGCUUCUUUAGCCAAACAGGAAAUAGUGGCAGCCCUUAAUUAAUUCGCCUCCAUCUUUUACACAAUCAUUUUUUAUUAAGAAAUUAAUAUUUUCAUAUGAUUUUUUGAUAUUUCCACAUGAAAAGUGUCGCUAGCGGCCGUCGCUAUAUAAGAUCUAUAGCAACAAUAAUUUUCAUGUGAAAAUAUCAAAAAUUCGUGUGAAAAUAUCUGUUUUCUUUAUAUUACUAUGAAGACAUAUUUAAGUGCAAGUUUUUUACACUGGUUACUAAUUAGUAAUUACUAUUAAAAGUUUUUACAACUAAAAUUGUUAUAGACCAAAAAACCAAAAAAAAAAACAAAAGAAAAAGGUUUAGAAAGAGAUGUUUCUAUGAUUUGUUUUUUCAAAGUUGUGGUCCACUGAUUGGGCUAAAAGUUGAUCAAAAAUCAAGUAAAACUGAAAGCUCGGCCCAGUACUAGCCACAACUGAGCUCUAUCUACCAAGCGGAAGCCUAACUUGGAUAAUACUAGAAUGUGAUAUAUAUAUAUAUAUAUCAGAAAUUAUUAGUUACCUUGGCUAUGCAAGCCUAAAACUAUAAAAUUCAGUCAUCACGAAACAUCUUUCUUUCAUCACAAAAAAAGCCAUUCUCACAAGUCACAAUAUUAGACUUUCUAAAUUCUAAUGUAAGAUUUUUCUUUGUUUUGAACUGCGGUCAUUAAAUAUCCUGAUGUACAACUUUACACAUGGAUAGACUAAAAAUAGGUCAGGCCAAAUUGAAUAGCAUGAUUUUGUAUGCUACCUGAAAAAAACUAUAAUAUUUAAUAGCAAUAAAAUAAUAAUUUUAGGAACAGAGACUAUGCUAGCUGUACAACAAUUGUCUAGUUUGCUCGUUCUGAAUUUUAAAAGACCUUGAAAUACAGCAAGCAACUCAUAGCAAAUGCUUAAUAACAAAUUAUGAAAUUAAUUUCAAGCAGAUUGGCUUAAGGAACAAUAGGAAAGGAAUUCAGUGUUGUGCUCAGGUCUGUCCAUGUCCCCCUCUGACAAUCCAAUCCAUGCUUCCAUUCCCUUACCAUCACUAGUAUCCAUGAGAAUGGCAGAAUUAAUAUAAUUCACACAAUUCCCUACCAAAACUGGCUUCCCCUAUCCAAAAUCAACCUCGUAAAAAGGAAAUCUACACCAACUGCUAACAACAAAAUUUCCCACUUCUUCACUUUUAUUUGCUAUCAACUUAAAUCUGUCCCUUAUGGCCUUAAAGAAAGCACCAUCUGCAAAAUUCUUCCUCACAUAACCAUCUUUCAUCACUUGUAUUGAGUCCGCCAUUUUUUUGUGUCAAGGACUGAUAGUCUAUGGCACCACCCUCCUCAUAACCAUCACUUGCUUCCCAUCGCGCUCUUGUGGUGUGGAAAAUGUUUCCCAUGCUGUGGGGAGGAAUUGGCGGCACCAUUCUGUUUCUCAAAUUAACGGUUAAUACAAUAUCAUGUGCUUUAAUGCUCUUGUUUCUUGCUUCAAUGACCGCUGCCCAUAUGAAGGCCACCACGGCCUCCACACGUGUUGGAUGAUUUUUCUCGUGAUCAUCAACACGUUAGCUUUUUCUCUAAGAGCCGCGAUCUUAGUUCCGCUAAACACGAAUCUUUUAGUCACUGCUUUGCGCAUAACCUGUUUAUUAUUCGAGAUACUUGUUGAAAGGUAUAUUGCCAUAUCUUGUGGAGGGAAAAUACAAGUGCAAUCAAACACAAAAUUGUCAACAAUAUUAGUAUUGUUGGUUGAUGCGGUGAUAUUGUUCUUUGCCCAUGUCUUAAAAAAUGUUGCAGCGGUGGCAGCAUCGGCUAUAACAUGGCGAAUGCAAACACCUAUGGCGAUUCCACCACAAGAAAAUUCGUUAAGUUGGACAGAUAAAAGGACUUGAUCUUCACCGCUUGUUGGAAGUUUUAGAUGGGGAUUAUAUGGAAAUAACAUCUUCAGGAGAUCGAUUUCUGGGUGCUGAAGCACUCUAGAUAUGUCCUCCUCUACGCG
rnacentral:lncRNA from 1 species